rnacentral:rRNA from 1 species
AUUGAACGCUGGCGGCAUGCUUUACACAUGCAAGUCGAACGGUAACAGGGUGCUUGCACCGCUGACGAGUGGCGAACGGGUGAGUAAUGCGUCGGAACGUGCCGAGUAGUGGGGGAUAACGCAGCGAAAGUUGUGCUAAUACCGCAUACGUACUGAGGUAGAAAGUGGGGGACCUUCGGGCCUCACGCUAUUCGAGCGGCCGACGUCUGAUUAGCUAGUAGGUGAGGUAAAGGCUCACCUAGGCGACGAUCAGUAGCGGGUCUGAGAGGAUGAUCCGCCACACUGGGACUGAGACACGGCCCAGACUCCUACGGGAGGCAGCAGUGGGGAAUCUUGGACGAUGGGCGAAAGCCUGAUCCAGCCAUCCCGCGUGUCUGAAGAAGGCCUUCGGGUUGUAAAGGACUUUUGUCAGGGAGGAAAUCCCUAGUGCUAAUAACACUGGGGGAUGACAGUACCUGAAGAAUAAGCACCGGCUAACUACGUGCCAGCCGCCGCAGUAA